AAGGUAGUGUAGUUAACAUCUGCAUUAUUUGACGUUACCUACAGAAGAAGCAACCGGCUAACUCCGUGCCCAGCAGCCGCGGUAAUACGGAGGGUGCGAGCGUUAAUCGGAAUUACUGGGCGUAAAGCGCAUGCAGGCGGCCUGUUAAGUCAGAUGUGAAAGCCCGGGGCGUUAACCUCGGAAUUGCAUUUGAAACUGGCAGGCUAGAGUCUUGUAGAGGGGGGUAGGAAUUUCAGGUGUAGCGGUGAAAUGCGUAGAGAUCUGAAGGAAUACCAGUGGCGAAGGCGGCCCCCUGGACAAAGACUGACGCUCAGAUGCGAAAAGCGUGGGGAGCAAACAGGAUUAGAUACCCUGGUAG
rnacentral:rRNA from 1 species